CAUGCCUCCUCUCAUUAUUUUCUUCCUUUCUACAUCUAAAAAUUGGGUGCUCUCUCUUCCACAUGCCUAGAAGAAGUUUUGGUGACUUAGAGAUCAAGAAUCGAGGAGAAGAAGAAGAAAGCUGCAGAUCAAGGAGUUGAUCUCGCAGUUAAGAUCGAAGGAGUUGAUCAAAGUCUUUAAGGUCAAGAUUCUUCUUGAGA
rnacentral:lncRNA from 1 species